UAAUACGUAGGGAGCAAGCGUUGUUCGGAUUUACUGGGCGUAAAGGGCGCGUAGGCGGCCUGACAGGUCACUUGUGAAAUCUCCGAGCUUAACUCGGAACGGUCAAGUGAAACCAACAGGCUAGAGUGCAGAAAGGGCAAUCGGAAUUCUUGGUGUAGCGGUGAAAUGCGUAGAUAUCAAGAGGAACACCUGAGGCGAAGGCGGGUUGCUAGGCUGACACUGACGCUGAGGCGCGAAAGCCAGGGGAGCAAACGGGAUUAGAUACCCCGGUAGUCCUGGCCCUAAACGAUGAAUACUUGGUGUCUGGAGUUAUUAUUGCUCCGGGUGCCGUAGCUAACGUUUUAAGUAUUCCGCCUGGGGAGUACGCACGCAAGUGUG
rnacentral:rRNA from 1 species